rnacentral:sRNA from 1 species
UCGAAACCAACCAACCACGGUCGGAGAU